rnacentral:lncRNA from 1 species
UGGGGACACCAAGGUGGGACCUGCUGGAACUUGGGGAUCACCAAGGUGGGACCUGGUGGAGAUUGGGUGUCACCAAGGUGGGACCUGGAGAAGGUUUGGGGUCACCAAGGUGGGACCUGGAGAACCUGGAGAACAUUGAGGGGCACCAAGGUGGGACCUGCUGGAGAUUGGUGUCACCAAGGUGGGACCUGAUGGACAUUGGGGUCACCAAGGUGGAACCUUGAGGA